UACGUAGGGGGCAAGCGUUGUCCGGAUUUAUUGGGCGUAAAGAGCGUGUAGGCGGCCAGGUAGGUCCGUUGUGAAAACUCGAGGCUCAACCUCGAGACGCCGAUGGAAACCAUCUGGCUAGAGUCCGGAAGAGGAGAGUGGAAUUCCCGGUGUAGCGGUGAAAUGCGCAGAUAUCAGGAGGAACACCGGUGGCGAAGGCGGGUCUCUGGGCCAAAACUGACGCUGAGGAGCGAAAGCGUGGGGAGCGAACAGG
rnacentral:rRNA from 1 species